rnacentral:rRNA from 1 species
GGCCCCUCGGGGCCCAACCUCCCACCCGUGUUGCCCGAACCUAUGUUGCCUCGGCGGGCCCCGCGCCCGCCGACGGCCCCCCUGAACGCUGUCUGAAGUUGCAGUCUGAGACCUAUAACGAAAUUAGUUAAAACUUUCAACAACGGAUCUCUUGGUUCCGGCAUCGAUGAAGAACGCAGCGAAAUGCGAUAACUAAUGUGAAUUGCAGAAUUCAGUGAAUCAUCGAGUCUUUGAACGCACAUUGCGCCCUCUGGUAUUCCGGAGGGCAUGCCUGUCCGAGCGUCAUUGCUGCCCUCAAGCCCGGCUUGUGUGUUGGGCCCCGUCCCCCCCGCCGGGGGGACGGGCCCGAAAGGCAGCGGCGGCACCGCGUCCGGUCCUCGAGCGUAUGGGGCUUCGUCACCCGCUCUAGUAGGCCCGGCCGGCGCCAGCCGACCCCCAACCUUUAAUUAUCUCAGGUUGACCUCGGAUCAGGUAGGGAUACCCGCU